UCCACGCCCUACUACUUCUCAAAGUAGCAAAAAGGGCUUGUCGGGUUUGUCGCAUUUAAAAGUUUUACAUUCACAUCCAACUCCUUCUUGUACUGCAAACUUUGAUUAGUAUCACUUUUAUUUGAUGCAGCCAAAUGUGGAUAUCAAGGAACUAGAUGAUUUGGACGUCUUAGCAUGGUGGAAGAAAUACAAGGCAAGUCAUCCGAUACUCUCAAGAAUGGCUCGAGAUAUCCUUACGGUUCAAGUAUCAACCGUGGCUUCGGAGAUGUGCAUUCGCGAUUGGAUUAGAUCGGAGCGACGCAACCAAAACUUAGAAGCGAAGGAAGGCGAA